UGGGUUAGUGGCGGACGGGUGAGUAACGCGUGGAUAACCUGCCGUAUACAGGGGGAUAACACUUAGAAAUAGGUGCUAAUACCGCAUAAGCGCACGGUUCCGCAUGGAACAGUGUGAAAAACUCCGGUGGUAUACGAUGGAUCCGCGUCUGAUUAGCCAGUUGGCGGGGUAACGGCCCACCAAAGCGACGAUCAGUAGCCGGCCUGAGAGGGUGAACGGCCACAUUGGGACUGAGACACGGCCCAAACUCCUACGGGAGGCAGCAG
rnacentral:rRNA from 1 species